GACGUAGGGCGCGAGCGUUGUCCGGAUUUAUUGGGCGUAAAGAGCUCGUAGGCGGCUUGUCGCGUCGUCCGUGAAAACUUGGGGCUCAACCCCAAGCUUGCGGUCGAUACGGGCAGGCUAGAGUUCGGUAGGGGAGACUGGAAUUCCUGGUGUAGCGGUGAAAUGCGCAGAUAUCUGGAGGAACACCGGUGGCGAAGGCGGCAUCCUGGACCAACACUGACACUGAUGAGCGAAAGCCAGGGGAGCAAACGGG
rnacentral:rRNA from 1 species